AACGAACGCUGGCGGCAGGCCUAACACAUGCAAGUCGAGCGAGGACUUCGGUCCUAGCGGCGGACGGGUGAGUAACGCGUUGUAACGUGCCCUUUGCUUCGGAAUAGCCCUGGGAAACUGGGAGUAAUACCGGAUGAGCCCUUUGGGGGAAAGAUUUAUCGGCGAAGGAUCGGCCCGCGUUGGAUUAGGUAGUUGGUGGGGUAAUGGCCUACCAAGCCGACGAUCCAUAGCUGGUUUGAGAGGAUGAUCAGCCACACUGGGACUGAGACACGGCCCAGACUCCUACGGGAGGCAGCAGUGGGGAAUCUUAGACAAUGGGGGAAACUCUGAUCUAGCCAUGCCGCGUGAGCGAUGAAGGCCUUAGGGUUGUAAAGCUCUUUCAGCUGGGAAGAUAAUGACGGUACCAGCAGAAGAAGCCCCGGCUAACUCCGUG
rnacentral:rRNA from 1 species